UACGUAGGGGGCGAGCGUUGUCCGGAAUCAUUGGGCGUAAAGAGCGUGUAGGCGGCUUGGCAAGUCUGGUGUGAAAUCUUGCGGCUCAACCGCAAGCGGUCACUGGAAACUGCCUCGCUAGAGUCCGGAAGAGGAGAGCGGAAUUCCUGGUGUAGCGGUGGAAUGCGCAGAUAUCAGGAAGAACACCCGUGGCGAAGGCGGCUCUCUGGGACGGUACUGACGCUGAGACGCGAAAGCGUGGGGAGCGAACAGG
rnacentral:rRNA from 1 species